rnacentral:rRNA from 1 species
AUGGCGCCGCCGUUCGCCGUCGCCGCAGUUUCCUCCUCAUCCCCUCUCUUCUCCUCCUCGUCAUCCCGCCCCAUCCUCCGCGGCCACCCGCCGCUGGGUUAUAUCUCCGUGCGGCCACGGCACCGCUCGGCUGUGGCCUCCGCCGCGGCGACCGAGUCCGCUGGAAAGCUCCUUCUCGAGGUACACGGGCUUACCGCCUCCGUCAAGGAGACUGGGCAGCAGAUCCUAAAAGGCGUCGACCUCACCAUCCGCGAGGGCGAGGUUCAUGCGAUCAUGGGGAAGAACGGCUCCGGCAAGAGCACCCUCACAAAGGUUCUUGUUGGCCAUCCACACUACGAGGUAACUGGUGGUACCAUUCUCUUCAAGGGUGAGAACUUAAUUGACAUGGAGCCAGAGGAAAGAUCUCUUGCAGGCCUCUUUAUGAGCUUCCAAGCGCCUAUUGAAAUUCCUGGAGUGAGCAAUUAUGAUUUUCUGCUCAUGGCAAUAAAUGCUCGCAGAGAGAAGGACGGUCUCCCAGCUUUGGGACCUCUUGAGUUCUAUUCUGUUGUAUCACAAAAAGUCGAGGCCUUAAAGAUGGAGCCAAAGAUCCUUGAUCGUAAUGUAAACGAAGGAUUUAGUGGUGGAGAAAGAAAGCGCAAUGAGAUACUGCAACUUUCUGUCCUUGGGGCUGAUUUAGCCCUCCUCGAUGAAAUCGAUUCUGGAUUAGAUGUUGAUGCACUUGAAGAUGUAGCUCAUGCAGUGAAUGGGCUCUUGACUCCCCAAAACUCCGUCCUGAUGAUUACACAUUACCAACGUCUUUUGGAUCUUAUUAAGCCUAGCUAUGUUCACAUCAUGGAAAGUGGCAAGAUAGUGAAGACAGGUGACAGCUCUCUAGCCAGCCACAUCAACGAGGGUGGCUACAAAUCAAUUGCUUAUUUUGUAUAGCAUGAAUAAGGUCAAAUGCUUGAAUUCCCAGCCACUAGUCUAUAUGUCUGAACAAACUGGUGACUAGUUGGGUUCUAUAUAUUCUUAUGCCCGGUGAAACUGGCAUGGAGCCUGGAAGUAAAACAUGCUAACUUAUGUGAAAUUGUAGAGCUAGUGCCCAUUUGGCCAGGCAUAUCCUUUUGGAGGUGGAGCACUGGAGUUCUGAAUUGCCCUCGGCCAUAUUUCUCUUUCUUGUCCUGUAAGAUUUGUUGGAUUCCAAUAUUAAUACAUUUAUACAUGCAGGGCGAUACGUACUGCUGUUCUCUGACUCUGCACUUAUCUUCUUGUUUCUGAACUGUUGUAACUUUGGACAUUGACAAAAACAGGAUGUCUCGUGACCCAUCCCCAGCCCAGCCCCUCCACGAUCCCCUCCCGGCGCCGGCCACCGUGGCCACGCCGGCCACCAUCACCCCGGGUCCUUGCCUGCUGCCGCCCCCUCCGGCUCGCUUGCCGCUGGACUUCAUCCCGCAGGUGGUCCCUGCAGGUGCGUCGUCGUUGCCGGUGCAUGUUGAUGCCAGAUCUAGGUCGCCGAUCCGGUCGCCGUCGUCCCAUGACCGGUCCCUGCGCAAUGCGCCGGUGGAGAUGGUGCCGGAGACGCCGCCGGAGCUCCAGGGCGUCCAGCCGCGGGUCGCAUCCAUCAUCAUCGUCCCGUCGCCUCAACUCCUCGGCGCCUCGUCCUCUUCCUGCAGCGGCUCUCCAGCGGAUGCGGGGCGUGACGCAGAUGCGUCUGGCGAGGGAUGGCAGCUCGUGUGCUCCCGGCGUGGCCCGCGCCUCCCGCCUCCUCCUGCACCGGCCUCUGCUUGACGCCCCCCUUCCUGCCUGGCUGCACGGGAGAUGCUGCUGCUGCCUCGCCCCGGGUCACCGUGCUUUGGUUUGCCGGGAUCCCUUCAGGUGCUCUCGCUGCCUCCAGCCCGGCCACCGUGCUCGCGGAUGUACCAAUGCGUGGCGCCCGCUCGGCUCCCUGAAGAUCCUGCGGCGGCCUGCUACAGCUCCCCCUGUGGCUCCCCGGCCACCGACUCAUGGUUGGCCUGCUCCUCCGCAAGCUGAAAUGCCCACCUCGUCAGCAUGGCCUCAACUCGGAGGUGCUGUCCUGCGGAGGGAAGGUCUUGCUGCUACGGAUAUGCUGCACCAAACACCAACCAGCUCUGGUCAUGUGGCGACAGUUUGGCUUGCCGGGGCGCAGUCAGAUGCCUCUUGCAAGGCCGUGGCAGAGGCCCUUGCGUCCGCGAUCGGCGCCAACGUCGUGGAUAUCAGGGCCAUCCGCCAAUUUGUGGAUGCCACCGUCGAUCGUCAAUCUCCGUCCAGGACUAUGCUCCCCUCGCCGUCUUCAUCUGCAUCACGGCCCCCAGGAUUUGAAGCUUCUCCGGUGACGAGCUCUGCCCCACAGACGCCGCCCUUCAUUACCGAUGCUUGCCGCACACCUUGCAGUACAGCGACUGAUGAUGUUUGUUCCCCUACUACCGAGACGGUCGCUGUCUCCGCUACGCCGCCCCAGACUCCUGGUCCAGCACCUACUCUGCAUGUCACCCCUACAAGUCAGGUGAUGGUUCAUGAAGAGCAGGAACUGCCGGCUGGGUUUGACACCCUGUUUCAGCCGCGUCAGGAGGCCAUCUUGGGCUCCCCUCCAACACUGCAAGGGAAACAACCAGGACGACGUAGAAAGACCAUGGCUGGGAUGUCCAUUGACCAGGAAGGGGCUGCUUUCUGUCACGACCGGUUUUCCGGGUAA